rnacentral:rRNA from 1 species
CCUACGGGGAGCAGCAGUAGGGAAUCUUCCACAAUGGACGAAAGUCUGAUGGAGCAACGCCUCGUGAGUGAAGAAGGGUUUCGGCUCGGAAAGCUCUGUUGGUAGUGAAGAAAGAUAGAGGUAGUAAAUGGACUUUAUUUGACGGUAAUUCCUUAGAAAGUCACGGCUAACUACGUUCCAACAGCCGCGGUAAUACUUAGGUGGCAAGCGUUGUCCGGAUUUAUUGGGCGUACAGCGAGUGCAGGCGAUUCAAUAAGUCUGAUGUGAAAGCCUUCGGCUCAACCGGAGAAUUGCAUCAGAAACUGUUGAACUUGAGUGCAGAAGAGGAGAGUGGAACUCCAUGUGUAGCGGUGGAAUGCGUAGAUAUAUGGAAGAACACCAGUGGCGAAGGCGGCUCUCUGGUCUGCAACUGACGCUGAGGCUCGAAAGCAUGGGUAGCGAACAGGAUUAGAUACCCUUGUAGUC